rnacentral:rRNA from 1 species
AUUCCAGCUCCAAUAGCGUAUAUUAAAGUUGUUGCAGUUAAAAAGCUCGUAGUUGGAUUUCGGAAUGGGUCAGUUGGUCCGCCUCACGGUGUGUUACUGACUGGUCUGUUCUUCUUCGCAAAGACUGUGUAUUCUCUUCAUUGAGUGUGCUCAGGAUUUACGACGUUUACUUUGAAAAAAUUAGAGUGUUCAAAGCAGGCCUACCGCUUGAAUACAUGAGCAUGGAAUAAUGGAAUAGGACUUUGGUCUUAUUUUGUUGGUUUCUAAGACCGAAGUAAUGAUUAAGAGGGACAGUUGGGGGCAUUAGUAUUUCGUUGUCAGAGGUGAAAUUCUUGGAUUUACGAAAGACUAACAACUGCGAAAGCAUUUGCCAAGAAUGUUUUCAUCG